rnacentral:rRNA from 1 species
UACAGAGGUCUCAAGCGUUGUUCGGAUUCAUUGGGCGUAAAGGGUGCGUAGGCGGCGCGGUAAGUCGGGUGUGAAAUCUCGGAGCUUAACUUCGAAACUGCAUUCGAUACUGCCGUGCUUGAGGACUGGAGAGGAGACUGGAAUUUACGGUGUAGCGGUGAAAUGCGUAGAUAUCGUAAGGAAGACCAGUGGCGAAAGGCGGGUCUCUGGACAGUUCCUGACACUGAGACACGAAGGCCCAGGGGGAGCAAAACGGG